rnacentral:lncRNA from 1 species
UAAAUUUUUGUGGCUGCGGGAUGGACAAGGACCCAGUCUUUAGCUGAACUAAGGAAAAGUCCUGCAACAAUAACAAUUUCAGAAGUUCGAUCUUAACAGAUGAGGAGACUGAAGCCCACAGAGAUCUGAUUGAAAACAGCUGGAUGUGCUACACAGAGCAUCAGAUUUGGAAUCAGGUAGAUCCUAGAUUGGCUACUUCCUAACCUCAGAAAAGUGACAUAAUGUCUAUGGUGAAGUCAUCCAUCUGAAAAACAAUGCAGUGAAAUCUACUUUAAAUUUUGAUUGUGAAAGCUUUACUGAGGUUUAUUUGAUACACAAUGAUCAUAUCAUUAUGGCUACAAGAAAAAUAAUCAACAAAGUAUACACUUGGAUAAAUUUUGACAUAAGUAUAUACCUGUAAAGCUAUCACUACAAUCAAGAUAAUGAACAUGUCCACGUGCUCCCAAAGUUUCUGCACAAUCCUGCCCAUCCUUCCUUGUUCUUGGAACUGCUAAUCAACUAUAGGUUAGUUUGCAUUUUCUGGAAUUUUAUAUUAAUAGAAUCAUAUAGUGUGGACUCUCUUUGGAGUUUGGUUUCUUUCACUUGGCAUAAUUAUUUUGAGAUUCACCCUUGUGGCAUGUAUCAAUAGUUUAUUCUUAUUUAUUGCUGACUAGUAUUUCAUUGUAUGGACAUACCACAGUGUGUUUAUUCCUUCAGCUCGUGGUGGAUAUUUAUAUUUUUUCCAGCUUUUUGCCUAUUGUUUUUAAAAACUGGUAUAGAAAUUGUAUUCAUGUCUUUGCAUGGACAUAUGCUUUUAUUUAUCUUGAGUAAAUGCCUAGGAGUAGAGUGGCUGUAUCAUAAGGUAGAUGUAUAUUUAACUGUUUACGAAACUUGCUGACCAUUUUCCAAUGUGGUUGUAUACUUUACAUUCCCACCAGCAAUAUAUGGGAGUCUAUUUCUCCACAUUGACACCAAUGCUCGAUAUGGUCAGUCUUUAAUUUUAGCCAUUCUAAAAUGUUUGUAGAGUAUCUCAUUGUGGUUUUAAUUUUAAUUAAAUUUCUGAAAUAACAAA